CCCUCUUCUUCAUCUUCCUCCCUCUUCUUCCUCUUCCCUUACCUCUUCUACCUCUUCCAAAUGCAAAAGAAAUCAGAAAAUUGGGCUCCGUCACCCAUCUCCCUCUCCUGCUUCUCCCUCUUCUUCCUCUUCCUCCCUCUUCUUCCUCUUCCAAUUUUUGGCAAAAAUUGCAGCUCCGUCAAGGCCCCGAACCAUCCAACGCGAGCCCGGGCCGGACCCCGGGACCGGCCCAGGCCGCAAAUCCUCCCCCUCCAACGCGCGUCUCGGGCCGGGACUCGCGAUUUGCGGCCAGGCCCCUUGCGUUAAUGAUGCUCUAAAUUUGCAGAUUUGGGUUGUCAAUGCGGAUGAAGAUCAGAGCUGCGGCGGAGGGAAUUCAUUGUCCUACUACAAUGAAGUUGCAGAUUAAUUAUUCAGUGUAAUUUUUAUCUUAAUAUUAACUUAUUAUUAAAUUAAUCAGGUCAAAAUUCAAUUAA